AGAAGUAAAAGUCGUAACAAGGUUUCCGUAGGUGAACCUGCGGAAGGAUCAUUAUUGUAUAACCGAGGUGCGAGGGCUGUCGCUGACCCGAAAGGUCGUGCACGCCCGAGUGCCCUCACACACAUCCAUCUCACCCCUAUGUGCACCACCGCGUGGGUCCCCCUUUGGCUUGUUCGGAGGGGGGCUUACGUUUUCACACAAACUUUGUAUGCAGUGUAGAAUGUAUUUUUUGUUUUUGCGAUCACGCAAUCAAUACAACUUUCAACAACGGAUCUCUUGUCUCUC
rnacentral:misc_RNA from 1 species